GUUCUCUAUUUUGACAUUUAUAUGCGAAACAAUAGUAAAAUUUAUCUUCGAUUGGCAUGUUUAUUUAAAAAAAAACAUACACAUUCUGAAUAAAUGAAUAAGAUAUAUUAUGCAGAGCAAAAAAGUAGUGGUCAAACCCUCAAAACUUCUACAAUUUACUUAUGUAUGAACUUGUUGCAUGUGAAAACGUUAGAAGGCCUCCAAGUAAUAAACAAUGGUUUUAAUAGCAAUCUAGUGUUGCAAGGCUGUUCUAAUUUGACAGUUUUUUUAGGUCCGAUACGGAAAUAUUUCGUUUACUGUCAUAUUUAUUACUAUCAUUAUCAUGUUAAUAUAUGUUUGUUCGUAACCUCAAAUUGAGAUCACCAAAAUGAAUGCACUGCACUAAAGUGAAGAGUUGUAGGAGAAUUAACCGCAAUUCCGAAGUUACACAGUAUAUACGGUCUGUCAUCAAGUAACUGUAAAUACACGUUAAAAAAAUCAAAACGUCAUUGUCCUGCCUUAGAGGUCGGAAUCAUUUCAGGAUAAGAACUUUGAAUUUUUCGAUUUUCCUAUCCCAGGCAUAGACUACCACAGCCGUUUUUGGCACACAUUUUUUGAAUUUUGAAUCCUCAGUGCUCUUAAAAUUUGUACUUGUUUGGCUUUAUAACUAUUUUGGUAUGAGCGUCACUGAUGAGUCUUUAUGUAGACGAAACGCGCGUCUGGCGUACUAAAUACGAAUCCUGGUACCUUUGAUAACUAUAUCUCUGGCGAUAAACAUGGCAAUAAAUAAUACAGAAACUUUUCAAUUGACAGCAACUGCAUUCUUCCUAUCAUCUCUGUUUUUGUUGCUCAACCAAUUUGUAAAUAUAACGGAACUUUAACAACUGUCGUACAAAUUGAAAGAUUACAUAGGUAUACAACCAGUUUUUACCCACCAUAAUCCGUCUUAGAUUAACUUGAUCACUUGCCUUUGCGAAGCACACAGAAAUGAAAAAGGAAAAUAAAUACUUUUUUACAAAGCCAUUUUCGAAUAAAUUUAAUUUAUGUAUUACAUGUUUAAAUACUAACGGCGACAAGCUUCGUGUGUGUUUUUCAUCUUUUUUUAAGUUAUCAUAUUAACACCUAGUAAAAAAUUCAUGUCAUUUCUUAUUAUCAAAAAAAAACCAGCAAACAUUUUAUCUGAUUUGUCGGAAUUACAAUAAGAUUUUUAGAUUUGACAGUACAAUUUUUUUCUCAAAUUUCAUCUCUAUUGCCAAAAACAGAAUUUCAUUUAAAUAUAUGAGAAAGAUGGCGCGUGCCAUCUUAACUUUGUAUAGAUAUAUGUAUUCAAUAUUCAUAUAUAUAGCUGUUCAAAGUUAAUUAUUGUAUUGGUGCAUGACAUGCAAUUUCUAUAUUGAAUGUCAUUUAGGUGCAUAGGAUACAUAGCAUUUAUUUUUUAAUAACAAGACAGAGGUAAAUAACACGGGGAAAAAUUGUAAUUGUUGCAAUUAAAAGAUAAACAUUAAAGUAAGCUACAUGAUAUUUUGAUUGCUUAUUGACGUAACCAUUUAGAGGGUUUUAGUCCUAAACUAUUGUUCUUUAACUGAAAAACGACAUUCUUUAUAACUAUAUUAAAAUGAUUUUUAUUUAAGAAUUCCGCGCUUCAUACAAAAUGUACUUCGGUCAACGCUUUUACAACCCUAUGAAGUUACAAAAAGAAGCAUUCAAUACUUAUAAUUACAUUUUUUUAGCAAUGAUCAUGAAACACGAAUUUUAUUAUUGUUUUAUUUAAUUCACCCGUGCACUUAUUGUGGCACCACGUGUUAUCAUGAAUGCAAAGUUUUAUUGAGCAAUGCAAUUGCUUACGGAAUAACACGUGAUGUGCAGUUAGCCA
rnacentral:lncRNA from 1 species